ensembl:snoRNA
CUAACUUGUGUGAGUUUUUGUUUAACUUGUAACCAAAGCCUUAAAGUUAGGUACAAAAACAAAUCCUCCUUUGCAACAUAGAACCCACUGCUCGGCAUGAGUUUUGAUAUUCAUAUAAAGAAUGUG